rnacentral:lncRNA from 1 species
CCUAAUAGGAAAACACUCCUCUUUACCCAACACACACACAAGAGCACUGAAUCACUUCUUUAUUCACAGAACAAACAAGAUACAAUGUAUGAAAGCCUAACCUCCCCCUGAUCAGGACAACUAGUUCCUGUCAAACAAUGGUAUUUACUUUGCUAACUCCCAAAAGCUAACAAUACAAUCCUUAUAUACAAAUCCCCCCAACUACCCAUUCUAACUGCCAAGGCAGUUAAGCUAAACCGGUCUGUGUACCGGUUCUCCUUCUAGUAUAUACUAAUAAUGGUCUAAUAAUACCCCCCUCUCCUGAAACAACCUUGUCCCCAAGGUUAAAUUCAGGGUAUUGUUCCUGGAUGGUAGCCUCGUCCUCCCAGGUCGCUCCCUCACGGCCUCCUUCUUGCCACUCUAUCAGCACUUGUGGUAUUUCAACUUCACCCAACUGUCUUUUCCUCCUUUCUAGAACCCUCACCGGCCAAAACAUGGGCCCCUCUACCUGCAACUCCACCAGUAAUUCUUUUUCUACCCUUUUUUCUCCCACAGCCUUUUUUAAUUGUGAGACGUGAAGAUUGGAUGAAUCCUAGUUGUCACUGGCAACUAGAUAUGAAAAGCAACUUUUCCCUCGUAGCACCUGGAAAGGUCCAAAAUAUCUUGCUGAUAAUUUUGGAUGAAGACGUGUGGGCAUUAAAGUCUGCCUGUGGGACCUGAUGCGCAGAUAAACCCAAUCUCCCACCUUGAUAUUUGUUUCCCUCCUCUUCUUAUUUACCUGAGCCACCAUUGCAUCCUGCGCCUUUUUAAGAUGUUGUUGUAGUUGUCUCAGGGCUUCAUCUCUUGUCAUCAAAUCCUGCAC